rnacentral:rRNA from 1 species
GACGAACGCUGGCGGCGUGCUUAACACAUGCAAGUCGAACGGUGAAGCGCUUGCCUUUUUGGUGGGUGUGGAUGAGUGGCGAACGGGUGAGUAACACGUGAGUAACCUGCCCUCUUCUUCUGGAUAACCUCAUGAAAGUGGGGCUAAUACGGGGUAUUCCGGGUCUGUCGCAUGGCGGGUUUGGGAAAGAUUGCGCCUUUGGGUGUUUUCGGUGGGGGAUGGGCUCGCGGCCUAUCAGCUUGUUGGUGGGGUGAUGGCCUACCAAGGCGGUGACGGGUAGCCGGCCUGAGAGGGUGGACGGCCACACUGGGACUGAGACACGGCCCAGACUCCGGCGGGAGGCAGCAGUGGGGAAUAUUGCACAAUGGGCGCAAGCCUGAUGCAGCGACGCCGCGUGAGGGAUGGAGGCCUUCGGGUGGUGAACCUCUUUCGCCAGUGAAGCAGGCCUGCUCCUGUGUGGGUGGGUUGACGGUAGCUGGAUAAGAAGCGCCGGCUAACUACGUG